GACGAACGCUGGCGGCGUGCCUAAUACAUGCAAGUCGAACGCAGUGGGGACGGGUGAGUAACACGUGGGUAACCUCCCAUCAGAGGGGAUAACACUUGGAAACAGGUGCUAAACCGAUACUGAUGGAUGGACACGCGGUGCAUUAGCUAGUGGGUGAGGUAACGGCUCACCAAGGCCACGAUGCCUAGCCGAGCUGGGAGUGUGAUCGGCCACUCUGGGUCUGAGACACGGUCCCGUCCCCUACGGGAGGCACCAGUAGGGAAUCUUCGGCAAUGGACGAAAGUCUGACCGAGCCACGCCGCGUGAGUUAAGAAGGUUUUCGGAUCGUAAAACUCUGUUGUUAGAGAAGCGGUAUCUAACCAGAAAGCCACGGCUAACUACGUGCCAGCAGCCGCGGUAAUUC
rnacentral:rRNA from 1 species